GUGUCAGCCGCCGCGGUAAGACGAACCGAGCGAACGUUGUUCGGAAUCACUGGGCUUAAAGGGCGCGUAGGCGGGUAUUCAAGUCUAUGGUGAAAUCCGGCAGCUCAACUGUCGAAUUGCCGUGGAUACUGGGUAUCUCGAGGGAGGUAGGGGCGUGCGGAACUAAUGGUGGAGCGGUGAAAUGCGUUGAUAUCAUUAGGAACUCCGGUGGCGAAGGCGGCACGCUGGACCUCUUCUGACGCUGAGGCGCGAAAGCCAGGGGAGCAAACGGGAUUAGAUACCCCCGUAGUCC
rnacentral:rRNA from 1 species